GGCCUGGGUAGGCUUGCAUGGGGGACUGGGAAGAGACCAUGAACAGGUUAGUCCAGGGAGUUCUCAUCAAGCCUUUACUCAGUAG
ensembl:miRNA MIR4327 microRNA 4327